rnacentral:rRNA from 1 species
UACGGAGGGUGCAAACGUUGCUCGGAAUCAUUGGGCGUAAAGCGCACGUAGGCGGCCUGAUAAGUCGGGUGUGAAAGCCCUGGGCUCAACCCAGGAAGUGCACUCGAAACUGUCGGGCUUGAAUAUGGAAGAGGGUCGCGGAAUUCCCGGUGUAGAGGUGAAAUUCGUAGAUAUCGGGAGGAACACCUGUGGCGAAGGCGGCCAUCUGGACGACGAUUGACGCUGAGAAGCGAAAGCAUGGGGAGCGAACAGG